CCAUUUUUGUGGACUAUCACUUCUGGUCACAUAUGAGAACCUAAUAAGCCCGCCUUUUAUAAUUAUACUUCUUGUUGAUUCUGUUCCUCUAGAGAAGCCUAAUACAUGGGGUAAGGGGCCCCAGGCCUGACAGCAAUCCCUCUGAACUUCACCAUGGUGGGGACACCACUUCCGAGUCCAGGUCCAGUGGGUUGGCUUGUUGGCCAUGACCUGGGAGGAGUAGAGUGGACAGUGAGUUGGGAUGGCAGCCCAGCCUCACCUGCUCACAGCGCUGGCUUAGAAGCCCAUUCGUGCCCACAGUAUGUCCCUUGAGUCCUAGAACUUCCCCACCCGGGAAUGCCAAUCUUCCCCCAGGGCCCGUGGGAAAAAAAUCUCACAUUUAGGUUUCUCCAAGUCCUCCUCCAUCUCAUUUGCUAGGAACACAAGGGCAUGAGGUCAAGGGUCAAGUCUAUGGCCUCCGCCCUGUCCUAUCCUACCAUACCCUCACCCUCAGGAGUGUCCCGCUGCCCACUCCUGCCACUCAUAGUGCCAGGAACUGCUGUGGUUGUGCUCACAGAGCGUCAGGUUAGCACACCGGAAGGAGACCAGCCCCACAGCCAGGAGGAACUGCAGACAGGCUGGGGCAGCCAGAGGCCCUGGGGAUGAGGCCAGCAGCCAGGUUCCUUCACACCCCAGAGGUUUUGGACAGGGAAGAAAAGACAGUAAAAUGAGGGGCCCAGCAAAGAUAAGGGGAAGGGUUCCCCCAACAGUCCAGGGGACCCAGCAGCACUGAAUCCCAUUAAGUCAACCUUCUACUCAAGUGACCCCAGCCUCUACACCCCACUUUGCUUCCUUACCGUAUCUGAAAUCUGGAAGCAGGUGUCUUUGGAGAGGAACUCCUGGAAAAAGCUGUCCUCUGGAGGUAGAGAAGAAAAACAGGGGACACAGGUCAUGCCCCAUAGAUAAAAUGGUCAAAGCCCAAACCACCACUGAACCCAUGUUCUGACAAGAUUCCCCUCCCACCUGCCACACGUGACCAGAGAGGCUUGGGAGGCCGGCUUGAGCAGAGCAGGACCCUGCCUUCCACAGCUCUUUGCAUUCUUGACCCCAUCACCCCUCCCAUGCCAGCCUCCCGAAACUCACCCAGAAUGUUGAGGAAGGCCUGGACUCCUGGCCCUGGUGGGGAUGAAGAAACCCAUUACCCCCCCCCCCUUGUUGGCUGCAGUCCCCCAACUUCUCUGGGUGAUAACCACGGGAACAAUGGCAGGGUCUCCGGUAUCACUUAUCUCACAGGGAGUAGGAGCAGGGUGGGGCAGGGUGGAGCAAGGGGACCUGCAGAUACAGCAGCCUCAGGACUUGGUACCUAUACAAUGAUC
rnacentral:lncRNA from 1 species